rnacentral:rRNA from 1 species
UACGGAGGGGGCUAGCGUUGUCCGGAAUUAUUGGGCGUAAAGAGCUUGUAGGCGGUUUGUCGCGUCUGCCGUGAAAAUCCGGGGCUCAACCCCGGACUUGCGGUGGGUACGGGCAGACUAGAGUGUGGUAGGGGAGACUGGAAUUCCUGGUGUAGCGGUGAAAUGCGCAGAUAUCAGGAGGAACACCGAUGGCGAAGGCAGGUCUCUGGGCCACUACUGACGCUGAGAAGCGAAAGCGUGGGGAGCGAACAGG